GCGGGAAUUGUAAUUUGAAGGUUUCGUGGUCUGAGUCGGCCGCGCCCAAGUCCAUUGGAACAUGGCGCCUGGGAGGGUGAGAGCCCCGUAUGGCGCACGCCGACUCUUUGUACACCGCGGCUCCGACGAGUCGAGUUGUUUGGGAAUGCAGCUCUAAGUGGGUGGUAAAUUCCAUCUAAAGCUAAAUAUUGGCGAGAGACCGAUAGCGAACAAGUACAGUGAUGGAAAGAUGAAAAGCACUUUGAAAAGAGAGUGAAACAGCACGUGAAAUUGUUGAAAGGGAAGGGCUUGCAAGCAGACACGGUUUUACCGGGCCAGCGUCGAAAAGGGGGGAGGAACAAGAACUCGAGAAUGUGGCGCGCACCUUCGGGCGCGCGUGUUAUAGCUCGUGUUGACGCCUCCAUCCCUUUUCGAGGCCUGCGAUUCUAGGACGCUGGCGUAAUGGUUGCAAGCCGCCCGUC
rnacentral:rRNA from 1 species